rnacentral:lncRNA from 1 species
AGGUCUGCGGACGCCCUACGGAGGUCACGAGUCGGGCGGAACAAGCUAAUCAGCCCGCGCCCCAGCAGCAAUCCACUGGACACCCCCCACCCCACCCUGCUCCUCUGGCCUCUUCUCUGUAUAGCCACCUAGUUCCACACUACAAAGACGCAGAGGACACCGGACCACCAGACCACUGUACUGGGGAAGAGCCAGAAGCUGCAGGAUGCCAGAUACAGUGAACAAGGUGGAGGAGGACAUACCAAAAAUGGAGAGG